AACGAACGUUAGCGGCGCGCCUAACACAUGCAAGUCGCACGAGAAAGGGCUUCGGCCCCGGUAAAGUGGCGCACGGGUGAGUAACACGUGGGUAAUCUGCCCUUGAGCGGGGGAUAACAUUCCGAAAGGAGUGCUAAUACCGCAUAAGACCACGGCUUCGAAAGGAGCAGCGGUCAAAGCUGGCCUCUGUACACAAGCUAGCACUCGAGGAUGAGCCCGCGGCGCAUCAGCUUGUUGGUGAGGUAAUGGCUCACCAAGGCUAAGACGCGUAGCUGGUCUGAGAGGAUGAUCAGCCACACGGGAACUAAGACACGGUCCAGACUCCUACGGGAGGCAGCAGUGGGGAAUCUUGCGCAAUGGGCGAAAGCCUGACGCAGCGACGCCGCGUGAGUAAUGAAGGCCUUCGGGUUGUAAAGCUCUGUGGGGAGAGACGAAUAAGUGCAGCCUAAUACGUUGCAUGAUGACGGUAUCUCCUUAGCAAGCACCGGCUAACUCUGUGCCAGCCGCCGCGGUAACAC
rnacentral:rRNA from 1 species